rnacentral:rRNA from 1 species
GACGAACGCUGGCGGCGUGCCUAAUACAUGCAAGUAGAACGCUGAAGAGAGGAGCUUGCUCUUCUUGGAUGAGUUGCGAACGGGUGAGUAACGCGUAGGUAACCUGCCUUGUAGCGGGGGAUAACUAUUGGAAACGAUAGCUAAUACCGCAUAACAAUGGCUGACACAUGUCAUUUAUUUGAAAGGGGCAAUUGCUCCACUACAAGAUGGACCUGCGUUGUAUUAGCUAGUAGGUGAGGUAAUGGCUCACCUAGGCGACGAUACAUAGCCGACCUGAGAGGGUGAUCGGCCACACUGGGACUGAGACACGGCCCAGACUCCUACGGGAGGCAGCAGUAGGGAAUCUUCGGCAAUGGGGGCAACCCUGACCGAGCAACGCCGCGUGAGUGAAGAAGGUUUUCGGAUCGUAAAGUUCUGUUGUAAGUCAAGAACGGGUGUGAGAGUGGAAAGUUCACACUGUGACGGUAGCUUACCAGAAAGGGACGGCUAACUACGUG